rnacentral:lncRNA from 1 species
GCUCGUGUUGGGACCAGGUCGGUGAUUUUCAUGUUUUCCAUCAUGUUCGUGCAUGCGCCUUCGACCAAUUAACAUCUGCCACGUCAUAUUCCUACCUACAGCACGGGGGGGGGUUGAGAGCACGACGCUGUCGUCUAAGCCCAUGAGGGCCCCAUCAAAUUUUGGGAACGCGUGGGCCCUUCUGGCAUCGCUGACCGUUGGCAUGGGAAAGAAAAAGUUGGAAAGAUAGAUGGACCAACUCCAGGCACCAGCUGUCGGAAAUUUUCAAACUUAGAUAUCAAAUUAUGAAAUUUGCUUUUAUUAAUAUUAUUAAAAUAGAUUUCUUUUAUUAAUUGUUAAUCUAUUAUAAUGCUUCGAAAACGAUCACUUGCCUUUGUCGACGUGGCUGGG